rnacentral:rRNA from 1 species
CACCGCGGUUAUACGAGAGGUUCAAGCUGAUAGAUAACGGCGUAAAGAGUGGUUAAUUUAAAAGAGAAGCUAAAGUGGAAUGUUUUCAAAGCUGUUAUACGCACCCGAAAAUAAGAAGACCAAGAACGAAAGUAACUUUAACUUUAUGAAUCCACGAAAACUAUGAAA